UACAGAGGUCUCAAGCGUUGUUCGGAUUCAUUGGGCGUAAAGGGUGCGUAGGCGGCGCGGUAAGUCGGGUGUGAAAUCUCGGAGCUUAACUCCGAAACUGCAUUCGAUACUGCCGUGCUUGGGGACUGGAGAGGAGACUGGAAUUUACGGUGUAGCGGUGAAAUGCGUAGAUAUCGUAAGGAAGACCAGUGGCGAAGGCGGGUCUCUGGACAGUUCCUGACGCUGAGGCACGAAGGUCAGGGGGAGCAAACGGG
rnacentral:rRNA from 1 species